rnacentral:rRNA from 1 species
UAAUACGUAGGUGGCAAGCGUUGUCCGGAAUUAUUGGGCGUAAAGCGCGCGCAGGCGGCUUCUUAAGUCUGAUGUGAAAUCUUGCGGCUUAACCGCAAGCGGUCAUUGGAAACUGGGAGGCUUGAGUGCAGAAGAGGAGAGUGGAAUUCCACGUGUAGCGGUGAAAUGCGUAGAGAUGUGGAGGAACACCAGUGGCGAAGGCGGCUCUCUGGUCUGUAACUGACGCUGAGGCGCGAAAGCGUGGGGAGCAAACAGGAUUAGAUACCCUGGUAGUCCACGCCGUAAACGAUGAGUGCUAAGUGUUAGAGGGUUUCCGCCCUUUAGUGCUGCAGCUAACGCAUUAAGCACUCCGCCUGGGGAGUACGGCCGCAAGGCUGAA